rnacentral:lncRNA from 1 species
UUCUCUUCAUUACCUUUACAUGAUCCUACAACCUUUAACCAUCCUCUGUUAUAACACCACAACUCUCCCGUAACUUACACCUUGCCGGAAGAUCAAAAGCGCCUCGCCGCGUUACAAAGUCGUUGCUGGAAUCGGAGUUCACGUCGGAUCCGAACCUUCAUUGGUUCGGUACACCCUUACCCGUCGGAGACGUAGAAGCUUUGCCGGAGAGAACCGACGCCGCCGGGAAACGGAAACAGCCACCACCACAACUCGCCGGAGCUUACGUCAUUCCUUGAAUUGGUAUCAUUCUUGUUCCUUUUGUUUUGUUCGUUCAGUCAUCAGUAAUACACAUCAUUCUAAGGUUCAAACAAUUAAAUUUAUGAAUCAUAACAAAUAGUCAUGUAUGUUUAUUAAAUAGAGGAAGAAGAUAACAUGUGAAGUUGAAACUAGCCUACUGUUGAGUUUUUAUUAAAAUUGAAGAUGAUGACACGAUUUUUUCUCUUCUUGUAGUUUUAUUCUUAUUUAAGAAAGAUAUAAAAAAAUACGUAAAUAACUUUUUGUUAUGUGAAAACUUUAUUUAAGUAAGAAAGAAGAUGAAUACUUCUAUAUGUAUAGUCAAGGGAUAUAACACUUUAUGUAAUGUUUAUUUCAAAUGAGAAAGAUGAUGACGAUGUUAUAUUCAUAUAAAAUAUAACCUAAUAAACAUCGCGAGUUCGAGUCCCGCUAUGAACGGUUUUGAUAUUUUUGGGAUUUCCUUUGACUCAACAGUUUCUUUUCUUUUUUUUUGUUUUUACUAUAUUGAUUCUUUUUUUGAAGACAGAAACAACAAUUGUCAUAUUUUCUUUUGAUUUAAUAUAACUAUAGUAUUUCUUAAUCAAAGUUGUUGCUAUCUUUUUAUUUUGGAAACGUUUACAUAGAUAAACUAAUUUGUUUAAGAAGUUUAAAAGAGAUGAGGUUUGUCAACUCAUUAAAAAAAACCCUCUUAUAACAUUAAAAGUUAAUAUUCAGAUAAAUUAUGUAAAUAAUUUAUUUACUUAGCUAAGACGUUCACGUAAUUCAUAUCUAGGAUCACCAUUACGUUCGUUCUCUUGGAUUUCUCCGAUCUUUACUCGUGCGUUAUUACAAGAAAUCGCAACGAAAUCUAAGGCUAUGUUAAUUGCGAUGAGGAAUCAAGAUUUGAAGAAGUGAAUAGGAUGGCCUAGAAACCCACCUUUGAAAUAAACUAUGUUUGAUGUUUGUUAUUUCCUUUUUAUGAUAAUGUAUGAAACUUUGCAAUUUUAAUAAAUGAAACUUAAUUAUAUUGUCACAUUUAGUGUUAUGAUGUCUUUGGACAAUUUGUACGUCUCAUCCCGAUGUUUUCGCCAUCGGUUAGGGUGUGACACUUUUAACCCCUCGCAUACGAAUUUGAUCAUAACUUUCUCGUUU